rnacentral:rRNA from 1 species
AUUGAACGCUGGCGGCAGGCUUAACACAUGCAAGUCGAGCGGAGAGAGGUAGCUUGCUACUGAUCUUAGCGGCGGACGGGUGAGUAGUGCUUAGGAAUCUGCCUAUUAGUGGGGGACAACAUUUCGAAAGGAAUGCUAAUACCGCAUACGUCCUACGGGAGAAAGCAGUGGAUCUUCGGACCUUGCGCUAAUAGAUGAGCCUAAGUCGGAUUAGCUAGUUGGUGGGGUAAAGGCCUACCAAGGCGACGAUCUGUAGCGGGUCUGAGAGGAUGAUCCGCCACACUGGGACUGAGACACGGCCCAGACUCCUACGGGAGGCAGCAGUGGGGAAUAUUGGACAAUGGGCGGAAGCCUGAUCCAGCCAUGCCGCGUGUGUGAAGAAGGCCUUAUGGUUGUAAAGCACUUUAAGCGAGGAGGAGGCUACUUUAGUUAAUACCUAGAGAUAGUGGACGUUACUCGCAGAAUAAGCACCGGCUAACUCUGUGCCAGCCGCCGCAGUAA